rnacentral:rRNA from 1 species
UGGGGAAUUUUGGACAAUGGGGGAAACCCUGAUCCAGCCAUCCCGCGUGUGCGAUGAAGGCCUUCGGGUUGUAAAGCACUUUUAGCAGGAAAGAAACGUCAUGGGUUAAUACCCCGUGAAACUGACGGUACCUGCAGAAUAAGCACCGGCUAACUACGUGCCAGCAGCCGCGGUAAUACGUAGGGUGCAAGCGUUAAUCGGAAUUACUGGGCGUAAAGCGUGCGCAGGCGGUUCGGAAAGAAAGAUGUGAAAUCCCAGAGCUCAACUUUGGAACUGCAUUUUUAACUACCGGGCUAGAGUGUGUCAGAGGGAGGUGGAAUUCCGCGUGUAGCAGUGAAAUGCGUAGAUAUGCGGAGGAACACCGAUGGCGAAGGCAGCCUCCUGGGACAACACUGACGCUCAUGCACGAAAGCGUGGGGAGCAAACAGG